rnacentral:rRNA from 1 species
CCUACGGGAGGCUGCAGUGGGGAAUAUUGGACAAUGGGGGGAACCCUGAUCCAGCCAUGCCGCAGGUGUGAAGAAGGCCCUCGGGUUGUAAAGCACUUUCAGUGAGGAAGAACGCCUGGUGGUUAAUACCCAUCAGGAAAGACAUCACUCACAGAAGAAGCACCGGCUAACUCCGUGCCAGCAGCCGCGGUAAUACGGAGGGUGCGAGCGUUAAUCGGAAUUACUGGGCGUAAAGCGCGCGUAGGUGGCUUGAUAAGCCGGUUGUGAAAGCCCCGGGCUCAACCUGGGAACGGCAUCCGGAACUGUCAAGCUAGAGGGCAGGAGAGGAAGGUAGAAUUCCCGGUGUAGCGGUGAAAUGCGUAGAGAUCGGGAGGAAUACCAGUGGCGAAGGCGGCCUUCUGGACUGACACUGACACUGAGGUGCGAAAGCGUGGGUAGCAAACAGGAUUAGAUACCCUAGUAGUC